GAACAGAAAAUUUAAUGAGCUUUUAAUGGAAUGCAAUGCUCAGAGUAGUAAAUUAUUUGUUAGUUGACGAUGCAAUCAGCAUGCUGAUUAAGGUUGCUUGGUUUUUUACUAAACAUUAACUGAAUGAAAACGGGUAGUCCUUGUUCUGCUUGGGGGGCUUUAAGGAAGCAAAUGGACUUUCAGAACAGAGAUUGUCAAUAAAGGAAUACCCAGCUUGGGUUCUGGAUAUGUCCUCUGAGAAGGUGCCCAUGUCACUGACUGCACUGGAGGCCAAUGCAGAUACUGGAGGAAGGUUCCAUGGUAGCUAAGUGUGGACAAGUUAAUCACUGAAGUUCCCUGAUGUAGAGCUGAUAAUCUCUGGAGUUGGAUGGAAGACUGUGCUGCCUUGAAGCUCUGAGAGAUGCCAUGCCAAUUCAAGGCAAGGUCUUUAUUGUUGAAAUUCUUGCAUAAUGACAUCUUUAUUCAGGUGAAAAUACAGGAUGAAUUUCAACUGUAUGAUACUGUUUAUGUUCAUCAGACAUAUUAUUUGUCUUUACAAAGACUGGUUUCAAUAAACUGGCUGUGUAACCGAUAUUAAAUAAACAUGGAAUUUUACACAUUCAUAAUAUUUGGUUUCUUGUGAUUCUGAUGAACUAUACUUUCAAGCAUUGUCAGUUCAUCCUCAUUUACAAAGAAACAUUUGCUGUAGCAGAGUGAUGUAGUGACUUGCUUUACUUAAGGUAAGUCAACUUUUCUAUUCAAUGUUUAAUGUGAAACUGACUUAAAAAUGUUCUUUUAGGCCCCAUUUACAUUUCUCUUUGUAUAACAUGCAUUAUACUAUUUUAACUUAAUACUGUGGCUACAUAAAGCAAAGAUAUUCUAAUUCUGUUUUUAAUUUAUUAUUUUGCAAGAUAAAUAAUUUUUAAUGCACUAAUAAAGCUAAGGAGUUCAUAUUAAAAGACAUAUUAUAUGACCUACUGAAGUUGAUCUAUGGAAAUUGACUAUCUUAAAAGUAAUUUUGUAAAAUUAUUUUGUAUAAAAUUGACUUUCUUGUAUGAAUUCUUGACAACAAAUAUAAAACAAAAGGAAGUUGAAACUCCUUCUACAUCCUUCUGCACACUGAAGAGAGUUAAUUGAAUUCUUUCUAACUUCAUGGUUUUUGUGUUUCUUAGAAAAAUAAAUCAGAUGAAUAGUAAACAUUGCA